CAUCCUCCAAGGCUAAAUACUCCUGACUGACCGAUAGUGAACCAGUACCGUGAGGGAAAGGCGAAAAGAACCCCGGCGAGGGGAGUGAAAAAGAACCUGAAACCGUGUACGUACAAGCAGUGGGAGCCCCACCACCAAAGCAUUCUCUGGUGUUGAAGGCCCUGCAAAGCAGCAUCGCGGUGGCGGAGCGUCGUUUGCGACGCCCAACACACAAAACAAGCGGUGAGUGCUUUGGGGUGGGGUGACUGCGUACCUUUUGUAUAAUGGGUCAGCGACUUAUAUUCUGUAGCAAGGUUAACCGUAUAGGGGAGCCGUAGGGAAACCGAGUCUUAACCGGGCGUUAAGUUGCAGGGUAUAGACCCGAAACCCGGUGAUCUAGCCAUGGGCAGGUUGAAGGUUGGGUAACACUAACUGGAGGACCGAACCGACUAAUGUUGAAAAAUUAGCGGAUGACCUGUGGCU
rnacentral:rRNA from 1 species